GACAGAGGGUGCAAACGUUGUUCGGAAUUACUGGGCGUAAAGAGCGCGCAGGCGGUCGUUCAAGUCGCGUGUGAAAGCCCCCGGCUCAACUGGGGAGGGUCACGCGAUACUGAUCGACUCGAAGGCAGGAGAGGGUAGUGGAAUUCCCGGUGUAGUGGUGAAAUGCGUAGAUAUCAAGAGGAACACCAGUGGCGAAGGCGAGUCCCUGGACAACUUCUGACGCUGAGGCACGAAAGCUAGGGGAGCAAACAGG
rnacentral:rRNA from 1 species